rnacentral:piRNA from 1 species
UACUUUUAUUCAGGUGUGUCUUCUUAGC